UCAUUCUACUCUAUAUGCGACUCGAUCUACCCUAAAUUCCAAGUGGAACUCAAACAAAACCAACUCACAGUGUCUAGGCGAGAAGCUGCUGGUUGAUCGGAGAGGACUUGGCCAAAACCCAAGGGACGCCUUGAAUGGACUGGACUGGACUGAUCUUGACUUGUACAGAACCUCCCCUGAUACUGGUCUGGACUGAACUCAACUCGAACAGCACCUUCCUUAGCUUCUGAACAAUUCUUCCGAAAUCUGAACAGAGUAUCGAACCAUAACCUCGACUGAACU
rnacentral:lncRNA from 1 species